AGUGGGAUAGCUGGGUCAAAUGGAGGUUCCAUUCCAAGUUUUCUGAGGAAGCUCCAUCCUGCUUUCCAGAGUGGCUGCACCAAUUUGCAGUCCCACCAGCAAU
rnacentral:pre_miRNA from 1 species